rnacentral:lncRNA from 1 species
UUUGCUUGGAAUAUAAUAUUAUUGUUUCAAUGUGCAUAACUAACCUUCAAAGUGCAAAAAAACAUGGUUAGAGUCGACCCCAAUUAGUUUAGAGUCGACCCCGAUAUAUUUGGCACGCCUUGGAACGAAGUAACACACCUUUGGAACACUUAGCACAGAGUAGGAGUUGACCCCAGAAGAGAUGAAGUCAACUCUGGCACGUUUUGGAAACAUUCUAGCACAUCCUGGCACAAAUGAACAGUAACUCGGGUCGACCUCAUAAAAGCUCGAGCCGACCCCAGCUUCAACCACUGCAAAAACAACUUUUUAAAAUUGACUGAGAGGGCCAACCUCAGAAAAGCUUGAGCCGACCCCAGCCUGAUGAACAGUAACUUGAGCCGACCCCAGAUUUGCUCAGGUCGACCCCAGCACGGCUGACAGCAUAACGGCUAGUUCUGCAAAAAUACUUUUUGAGCUCCCAACGGCUAUAAACGGUUAGUUUCUCCAUUCCAACGGCUAGAAAGUCAUCUUUGGAGGUUGGAGAAGCCUUUAAGAGCCACUAUUCAUCAAAGAAAGAUAUCAUGGUGAAAAUUAAAGUGUACAUUCAAGAGAAAAAAAAUCCAAGAGAGUUUCAUUUAUUGCUUCAUCUUAAAAUCUGAAAGAAAGUGGUUGAGCAGAAUUCAAAAGACUUCAAAAGCUCUACCAACCCUUGAGGAGUGAAGCAAUCUCAGCAAAGAAAAGAAAAGGAUCUUCAAAGCGAUAAUUAUUUUCUUAUCUCUUCUUGAAGUGCAUAUUUAUUAUAUUUGCUCACUUAGGAGUUUUAAACCUUAUAUUUUUUUAUUUAUUGUAAGGUUUGUUUGUGAGCCUGUAAAACCAACGGUAUAGAUUGUUGGUAAGCUCGUAAAACCAACAUAUGUUGUUGGUAAGCCCGUACCAUUGACCAAAAGAUUCAAUCAUUUAUUUGGCUUUUUAUCGAAUUAGCGUGGUAUCUCUCUCAAAAAAGUGAAAUUUAUACCUUCACAGAAUAUGCAGAGUGGGCAUCCACAAAGAAGCCAGACCAAGUAGGAUAUGAGGAAUUUUCCAGAUUACUAGUAGGUUUAAAUGCACCAGCAUAUAACAAUAACCAAAUCGAGAGGAAAUUUUGUCUAAAAUUAUUGGUUCACUCACAUGAUGCAGGGCUAUUGGAAUUGAAAAGAAUAAAUUUCCAAUACAAUGUUGGUGAUACCUACAUCCUUUCAUGUCUACUUCAAUAUCUAGUUACCCUGGGGAGAUUCCAAAAUUAACCGCCACAUAUUCUUUUAACCACUUCAUGUAACCAAGGAUCUUUCUGAAAUGCAAAUUCUCGUAAACGCUGUAAAAGGUUCUUCUCAAAUCUAGUGUAAACUUGCAAUGAAAGAGAUAUAUACAUGUCAUCGUAAUAUUGACCAGUUUUUAUAUCUAGCAUGUAACAUGCAAGAAAAAUGGAGGUGCUGGAAAAAUUGGAGGUUGUGCGGGAGAAAAUUAUCAAUAGCUAGUUCUCUGCCUCAUCCAUUUCGUAGCUGACCACUUCUCUCCUUUCAAAACUGCACAUCCUCCAUGAAUACUGUUUGGGUCAGACUCCCCAUUUAGACCCUGAAAAGAGCAAUUACCAACGUUGUAUAAUGGUACCAAAGAACUAUAAACCCAAUCCAUUCUUUUGAAGCCCACUAAAUCAUAAUGAAAGAAAUUCAUUCACUCAGCAAGAAGCUAAAAGUUCAUUGAAGCACAUGGACAGCAUUAGCAUAGGAUGGAAGACAAACCAUGCUCCAAAAGAGAACUGCAUCUCCUUUAAUAGGCUUAACACACAGCCCCUUCAUCAUCUUUCCUCCACAACUGCAUUCACCAUUUCCAGCCUGAAUAUAGAGGACAAUGAAUAUAUUUAUUAGCAGAUUGGAUAGAAGAGGAAAUUAAGAUAGGCCAUAGCUCAGGCUGCCAGUGUUGAUAGAAAAAGCUUAAGUAUCAGAUGUUUACCAUAAAUUCAUCAUAAAAAGCAUUGCCAGAAUUUUUUUAUUUUCUUUUAUCAUAAUCAGGAUGAAACUUUAGAUAAGAAUUAGCAUUUAAACAUUUUUUAAGCCAAAACUGAGACCAGCAAUAUAGCCAAGAAGCAAACAUAUUUCAUUUUGGAAAGCAGCAUGUGUAAAAUAUUGAACAUUAGUGAACUAUCGUUCCAUAACUUCUAUUUAAAUGUAAGACAUUAAAAUAAAAGUUUACAUUUAGCAUCCUUGGGUGUUUGUUUCAAAGUAAGUCAGGAGGGCUCGAGUUAACAUGGGUCUAACUGGAUUAGUUGGGUUUGCCACAAGAUUUGCCGUCUCAGUAUCAAAUACCGUAUUGGUACCAUCCUAUUAAAAUAUUGGUACGUUUGAAAUUGUCCUUAGUUCAGCAUACCAAUUGUCGAUAUGCCCCUAUACUAUGUGCUGGUUCGGUACUGGUAUAGUAUGGUACAAUGGUAUAAUUAGUAUGCACUGGAACUGGCCGGUAUAGCAAACCUGGUUUACCAUAUUUAGAUCUAUUUUGGCCAAGUUAGGUUUACUCAGGGAGGGUAUUAAACUGGACUGAUCUAGCCUGUGCUGGGUAGAUUGAAUUGGACCAAGUCGAAUCAUGUUUGGACCAAGUCGAAUCAUGUUGGGGUAGGUCAGGUCAAGGUGGGGUUCCCUUAAAUAUAGUUACUAAUCCAUGAAAGCACAACUUUAGCUCUCAAGAGGCCAAAAUCAAAAUGUGAUUUUGGGUUUUACAAGGAACUUGAUGUUCAUCUUCUGAUACAGUAGUAGCACAACAGAUAUCUUGGAGUAAUCACUUGUGGGUUGACCUAAAGUUUGGCUCUUCUUCUUAUGCCUUUUGAAUCAAAAUCUAGGAUAAUUUUAGGUUUUCAGUGCAGGACUCGGCCUUAUGCCUUAUAUGGGAACGAGCUUAGGUAUAAGUCAUCAAGAUGUGAUCAAGAAAUUAUUGUUCAAGAUACACAGAUACAUGCAAUAUAUAAAUGCAUAGAUUCCAUUAGCCAGAGCUCUCUCUAAUAGCCAAACAAUUCAAAUGAAACAGCCAAUCUCUAAGCAACCAAUCAUCAUGAUCCCUGCUAUGAUACAUCUAAAUUAUGGAUUUAAAACAACACCCUACAAAAUCCUCAAUAGCCAUGUCUCAAAUAAGACUAAUAAGACUCCACCAAUGUCAAAAAUUCUGACGCCACUUGAUAAUAUCAAAUUGGAGAUGUAAACUUGCAAUGAAAGAGAUAUAUACAUGUCAUCGUAAUAUUGACCAGUUUUUAUAUCUAGCAUGUAACAUGCAAGAAAAAUGGAGGUGCUGGAAAAAUUGGAGGUUGUGCGGGAGAAAAUUAUCAAUAGCUAGUUCUCUGCCUCAUCCAUUUCGUGGCUGACCACUUCUCUCCUUUCAAAACUGCACAUCCUCCAUGAAUACUGUUUGGGUCAGACUCCCCAUUUAGACCCAUGCUCCAAAAGAGAACUGCAUCUCCUUUAAUAGGCUUAACACACAGCCCCUUCAUCAUCUUUCCUCCACAACUGCAUUCACCAUUUCCAGAAAGAAGACUGCUAGUUUUGAGGACGAAAUUGAUGAGAAACCAUAGCAAGACCUGGGUUAGAGCAAUCAGAAUGAUCCAAAAUAUUAAAGAUGUGAAUCAAUGACAAUGAACAAAACAACCGUCUGCAACUUACAUAAAUCCAUACCCAGAAUGCUUUCAUGACCAACGUCAUGGAGGAAAUAGGUUGCCAUUAGGUUAAAAAGGGGCACGCGGAUGAAAAAUGAAAUAGGUGCAAAGGCCUGAGGCACCAAGAGAUCAAAUGAAGAAACACGUGGGAUAAAGAAGUCAAUAAUGUUUAUGAUAUCUCAACUGGCAAGAUGCAGACAUUUGAGAUUUUGAUUUGGAAGUCAGAGAAAUCACCCAAGCAUAAUAACUGAGAAAAUUAUAUCCUAGACAUGGAAGGGCAUAGCCAAAAGAAACCACAAGGCGCACCAAACAAUAUAUAGUUCACUAGAGAAAGAGCUUCCUUGGUGAAUGGAGAUGGAACAAAACAAUUGACAGGAUCGAGUUGGUUUAAAAAACUUGGAGAAUAAAGGAAAUCAACAGGUAUGUAAGAUUCAGAGAUCUCAACAGAAAAGCACCUACAGUCCUUGAAGCACUUCAAGUUGAAAAGAGAUACCUGCUUGAAGUAUUGCAGAACAGCAAUGAUAAGAAGUCAAUGGAAGCACUAGAUACAAAGAUACCAUCAAUUAACCAACUCGAUUCAAGAUAAAUCGUAUAAUUUGGCCAGUAAACACAAACUG